rnacentral:lncRNA from 1 species
AGAUGGGGUCUUCUUUUGUUGCCCAGGCUGGCCACAAAUUCCUGGGCUCAAGUGAUCCUCCCACCUCGUCCUUGUAGAGAUGAGAUUUAGUUAUGUCGUCCAGGCUGAUCUCAAACUCCUGGGCUAAAUCGAUUGUCUCACCUCAGCCUCUCAAGUAUGUUAUGAAGGUUAUAUGUUAGGAAGGGUCCCAGGAGGUAAACCCACACAGAUGGGAUUUGGGCAUAGGUUUGGUUUCCCAGGGGGCAGUGCUGAGCUCUUUGCCAGUGGGAAAUGGGAUGCUGGUGAUUUCCAGUAGGUGACCUCACAGUGACUCAAGCUACCACUUACUGUUGAUUGUGACGAAAUGCCAGCUGAGGCACAUGCCUUGGGAGCUAAGUGGUUGCUGCCCUUGACCACUGUGAAGACUGGUGUGGGAAGGGUCGUUUUGGAUGCACUUGAGCAGGGGUCCCCAACCCCUGAGCCAUGGAGCCGCAAGGAGCCACACAGCAGGAGGUGGGAACAUCCAGUUGCAGGAAAACAAGCUUAACACGCCCACUGAUUCUACAUUAUGCUCCUACCUCCCGGCAGCCUCUCCAGGCCCAGAACUUUCUCCAGUCAGCCUCUACAGACCAAGCUCAUGACUCUCAAUGGCCUAUUUAGGCCCAUACCCUACGUCACGGCAGCCUCCGCAGAUGAGGCUACUGCCUCACAACAGCCUCCACAGGCACAGCUCCAUCGUUACAAUGGCCUCUUUAGACCCAGCUCCUGCCUCCCAGCCUUCUCUCCAGGCCCUGAACUUUCUCAAGUUGACCUCACCAGGCCCAGCUCAUGCUUCUUUGCAGCCUCUCCAGGCCCAGCUCCUGCAUCUUGGUGGCCCCUCCAGGCCCAGCCUCUGCCUCCCGUCAGCCUCUACAGUCCCAACGUCUGCCUCACAGCAGAUUCUUCACGCCCAGCUUCUACCUCACUGUGGACCCCCCAAGCCAAGCUCCCAACCUUUCAGCAGCUUCUACACACCCAGCUCCUGCCACCCAGUGGCCUCUUUAGGCCAAGCUCAUGCUUCACAAGGGCCUUUCCAGGCCCAACUUUUGUCUCAUGGCAACCUUCCCUGGCCAGAUUCCUGCCUGUCUCCCAGCAGCCUAGACAGGCCCAGGUCUUGCCUCACACUGGCCUCUCUACAUCCAGCUUAUGCCUCACGGUGGCCUCUCCACGGCCAACUCCUGUCCCAGGACAUCAUCUCCGGGCCCAAAACUUACUCAAGUCAGACUCUCUAGUCCCAACUGCUGCCUCCUGGUGGCCUAUGAAGGCCCAAAAUCUCCUCAAGUUGACCUGUCCAGGCCCAGCUCCUGCCUCCUGUCAGCGUCUACAGGCCCAACCUCUGCCUCAUGGGGGCUUCUCCAGGCCCACCUCUUCCUCUUGGCUGGGUCUACAGGCACAACUGCUGCCUCACAACAGCCUUUUUUGGCCCAGUUCCUGUCCAGCUAAUGGCGGCCAAUGUAGGCCCAAAACUUCCUCAAGUCAAACUCUCCAGGCCCACCUUCUGCUUCCCGGUGGCAUCAACAGGCCCAGCUUUGACUUGAGAACAGCCUCUGCAGGCCCUGCUCUUGCCUCCCAGGGGCUUUUUCCAGGCCCAGCUCUUGCCUCAUGGCAGCUGCCCCAGGCCAAAUUUCUGCCUGCCUGCCAGCAGCCUCAACAGGCACAGCUCCUCCCUCACAGUGGCCCAUUUAGGCCCAACUUAUGACUGUGAGGCCAUUUCCAGGCCUAGUGCCUGCCUCGUGGCUGACUCUUGAAGCCCAAAACUUCCUCAAAUCAGGCUUUUGCCCAACUUCUGUCUACUGUCGGACUCUACAGGUCAGCCUCUGCCUCACAGUGGACCCUCCAGACCCAGAUGGUGUCUCACUGUGGCAUCCUCAGGUGAAGCUCCUGCCUUUCGGCAGCCUCUCCAGGCCCAGCUCCUCCUGCCUCCCAGUGGCCUCUUUCGGCCCAGCCCAGCUCAUGCCUCCCGGCGGCCUUCCCAAGCCCCGCUUUUGACUUUCGGUGGCCUCUGCAGGCCUCGACAAGGCCCAGCCUCCUGCCUCCCGAAGGCCUGCACAGGCCCAGCCUCUGCCUCACAGCGGACUCUCCACGCCCAGCUAGCUGUUGCUUCACUGCGGCCUCCCGAGUCCAAAGCUCCUGCCUCUCGGCCGCUUCGGCAGGCCCAGCUCCCGCCUGCCAGUGGCCUCUUCAGGCCCAUGGGGCUCAUUCCUGACAACGGCCUUUCCAGGCCCAGUUUUUCCCUUCCAGCGGCCUCUCCGGGCCCAGAACCUCCUCAAGUCGGCCUCUCCAGACCCACUUGCACCCUCCGGGCGUUCUCUCCGGGCCCAGCUCUUCUUCCUGGUUGGGUCUCCAGGCCCGAUUCCUGCCUCUCAACAACCUCUUUGGACUCAGUGCCUACCCAUCUCCUGGCGGCCUUGGUCGGUCCACAGCUUCCUCAAGCCAAGCUCCCCAGGCCCAGGUCAGGCCUCACGGUGGCCUCUCCAGGAUGAGCUCCUGCCCUCCGAUGGCAUCUCCAGGCCCCAAAUGGUCUCCGGUCGGUGGGCUCCUCCACGCCAAGGUUGGGCCUCCCGGCGACCGCCGCAGGCCCAAGUUGUCCUGAAGUCGGGCUCUCCCGGCCCUGCCUCCCAGCAAGUAAGCAAGCUCUUUUGGCUCAACUCCUGCCCAGCUCCCAACCGCCUUUGUAGGCCCCGAACUUUCUCCAGCCAAGCUCUGAGGGCCCACCUCCUGCCUCCUGGUGGCCUGUACAGUUCUAGCACUGGUUGGAGAACAGCCUCUGCAGGCCCCGCCCUUGCCUCCCAGGGGCCUCUCCAGGCCCAGCUCUUGCCCCCACGGCGGCCUCCCGGGGCCAAGUCCCUGCCUGCCUCCCAGCAGCCCGCGUGCGGCCCAGCUCCUCCCUCACGGUGGCCUGUUGAUGCCCAACUCAUGCCUCUGGCACCCUGCCCAGAGGCGUGAGCCCCUGCCUCACACUGGCUCCUCCCACGCUGAGAGAGGUCAGUGUGAGCCCUUGCCUCACACCGGCCCCUCCCACGCGGACAGAGGUCAGCGUGAGCCCCUUGCCUCACACCGGCCCCUCCCACGCUGAGAGAGGUCAGUGUGAGCCCCUUGCCUCACACCGGCCCCUCCCACGUGGACAGAGGUCAGCGUGAGCCCCUUGUCUCACACCGGCCCCUCCCACGCUGAGAGAGGUCAGUGUGAGCCCUUGCCUCACACCGGCCCCUCCCACGCGGACAGAGGUCAGCGUGAGCCCCUUGCCUCACACCGGCCCCUCCCACGCUGAGAGAGGUCAGCCCGAGCCCCUUGCCUCACACCGGCCCCUCCCACGCUGAGAGAGGUCAGUGUGAGCCCUUGCCUCACCCCGGCCCCUCCCACGCGGACAGAGGUCAGCCUGAG